GAAUAUUGGACAAUGGGGGGAACCCUGAUCCAGCCAUGCCGCGUGUGUGAAGAAGGCCUUUUGGUUGUAAAGCACUUUAAGCGAGGAGGAGGCUACUCUAGUUAAUACCUAGGGAUAGUGAACGUUACUCGCAGAAUAAGCACCGGCCAACUCUGUGCCCGCAGCCGCGGUGAUACAGAGGGUGCAAUCGUUAAUCGGAUUUACUGGGCGUAAAGCGCGCGUAGGUGGCCAAUUAAGUCAAAUGUGAAAUCCCCGAGCUUAUCUUGGGAAUUGCAUUCGAUACUGGUUGGCUAGAGUAUGGCAGGGGGUGGUAGAAUUCCAGGUGUAGCGGUGAAAUGCGUAGAGAUCUGGAGGAAUACCGAUGGCGAAGGCAGCCAUCUGGCCUAAUACUGACACUGAGGUGCGAAAGCAUGGGGAGCAAACA
rnacentral:rRNA from 1 species